rnacentral:rRNA from 1 species
UCUGGUUGAUCCUGCCGGAGGCUACCGCUAUUGGAGUUCGAUUAAGCCAUGCGAGUCGCGAGAAAUUAGAUUCUCGGCGUACCGCUCAGUAACACGUGGGUAACCUGCCCUAUGCUGGAUAAUAACCUCGGGAAACUGAGAAUAAUGAUCCAUAGUUCACUACGCCUGGAACGGUGAGUGGAUGAAAGCUCCGGCGGCAUAGGAUGGGCCUGCGGCGUAUCAGGUUGUAGGGGGUGUAACGUACCCUCUAGCCCUCUACGCGUACGGGUGUUGGGAGACAUAGCCCGGAGAUGGAUUCUGAGACACGAAUCCAGACCCUACGGGGUGCAGCAGGCGCGAAAACUUGGCAAUGCGAGAAAUCGUGACCAGGGAACUCCAAGUGCAUCGGGUAAGACCGGUGCUUUUCUUGACUCUAAAUAGGUCUUGGAAUAAGGGGUGGGUAAGGACGGUGCCAGCCGCCGCGGUAAUACCGGCGCCUCAAGUGGUAGUCGCUUUUAUUGGGCCUAAAACGUCCGUAGCCGGUCUGAUACAUUCGUGGGUAAAUCAACCAGCUUAACUGGUUGAAUUCUGCGAGGACGGUCAGACUUGGGACCGGGAGAGGUGUGGGGUACGCUCAGGGUAGGGGUAAAAUCCUGUCAUCCUGAGCGGACCACCUGUUGCGAAGGCGCCACACUAGAACGGAUCCGACGGUCAGGGACGAAGCCUA